GCCCGGGUGGCGGAACUGGUAGACGCAAGGGACUUAAAAUCCCUCGGAAGGUAACUUCCGUGCCGGUUCGAUUCCGGCCUCGGGCACCA
rnacentral:tRNA from 1 species